GAGAAUUUUCUCAACUUUCAUUGCUUGAUCAAACGAGAACAAGAGUUGCAUGAGAGUUGACAAGCGAGAGUUUACAUGAGAGUUUUCUCAACAUUCAUUGAUUGAUCAAACGAGAACAAGAGUUGCAUGAGAGUUGACAAGCGAGAGGUUACAUGAGAGUUUUCUCAACAUUCAUUGCUUUAUCAAACGAGAACGAGAGUUGCAUGAGAGUUGACAAGCGAGAGUUUACAUGAGAGUUUUCUCAACAUUCAUUGCUUGAUCAAACGAGAACAAGAGUUGCAUGAGAGUUGACAAGCGAGAGUUUACUUGAG